rnacentral:rRNA from 1 species
GAUCGAACGCCGGCGGCGUGCCUAAUACAUGCAAGUCCUGCGGCGUCUUGAAGGGCUUGCCCUCUAAGACCCAGCGGCGAACGGGUGAGUAACACGUGGCUAACGUGCCCCCAAGACCGGGAUAACUCCGGGAAACCGGGGCUAAUACCGGAUAGGACCCCGGAUCGCAUGAUCCGAGGUGGAAAGGCGGCGUCAAGCUGCCACUCGCGGAUGGGCCCGCGGCGCAUUAGCUGGUUGGUGAGGUAACGGCUCACCAAGGCGACGAUGCGUAGCCGACCUGAGAGGGUGAUCGGCCACACUGGGACUGAGACACGGCCCAGACUCCUACGGGAGGCAGCAGUAGGGAAUCUUCCGCAAUGGGCGCAAGCCUGACGGAGCAACGCCGCGUGAGCGAGGACGGCCUUCGGGUUGUAAAGCUCUGUUCUUCGGGAAGAAGGGCGGGAGGGCGAACAACUCUUCCGCUUGACGGUACCGAAGGAGAAAGCCCCGGCUAACUAC